GUGCUUCCUUCGGCAGCUCGUACACUAAAAUGGGAAUGAUACGGAGAAGAUCAGCAUGGCCCCUUGCAGGAGAAUGACAUGCAAAUUCAUGAAGUGUUCCAUAUUUUU
rnacentral:snRNA from 2 species